rnacentral:ncRNA from 1 species
CCUUAUCAAGAGCAGCCGAGGAACAGGCCGAUGACGCUGCGGCAACCGUUCACUUGUGAAAAUGGUGCCAAUUCCUGCGUGUAAAACACGAAAGAUGAGG